ACAAACUUGGUCAUUUAGAGGAAGUAAAAGUCGUAACAAGGUCUCCGUUGGUGAACCAGCGGAGGGAUCAUUAGCGAGUUUUAACACUCCAACCCACUGUGAACCUUUCAUGUUGCUUCGGCGGGCGGCCCCUCGGGAGGGGCCAGGCCGCCCCUCGCAGGGGUGCCCGCCAGAAGACCAACAAACUCUGUUUUAUUGGCAUUCUGAGAAACCAAAAACUAUCAAAACUUUCAACAACGGAUCUCUUGGCUCUAGCAUCGAUGAAGAACGCAGC
rnacentral:misc_RNA from 1 species